GCCCUCUCAGUCUCUUGCGCAGGCAGCAACCUUGGUACAGUGAUAUACAGAGGAAAGAGAAGCGUGGACUAGAUAUGACGCAAUACCUCCAUCUUCCUUUUUCUCCUCUUCCUCCUUCAUCAGUCCCGCACCACUCCAAUAAAGCUAACUCGUGGAUGAAUAGAAGAACGACUUGCCUGCACUGGACAACAUGCCUGUGUGUUGUCCAGUGGUGAUAGUGAAAUCAUUUUAAUAAUACAUUUUAAUGUGUUUUUA